UGGGGAAUUUUGGACAAUGGGCGCAAGCCUGAUCCAGCAAUGCCGCGUGCAGGAUGAAGGCCUUCGGGUUGUAAACUGCUUUUGUACGGAACGAAAAGCCUCUCUCUAAUACAGGGGGGUGAUGACGGUACCGUAAGAAUAAGCACCGGCUAACUACGUGCCAGCAGCCGCGGUAAUACGUAGGGUGCAAGCGUUAAUCGGAAUACUGGGCGUAAAGCGUGCGCAGGCGGUUUUGUAAGACAGUGGUGAAAUCCCCGGGCUCAACCUGGGAACUGCCAUUGUGACUGCAAGGCUGGAGUGCGGCAGAGGGGGAUGGAAUUCCGCGUGUAGCAGUGAAAUGCGUAGAUAUGCGGAGGAACACCGAUGGCGAAGGCAAUCCCCUGGGCCUGCACUGACGCUCAUGCACGAAAGCGUGGGGAGCAAACAGGAUUAGAUCCCUGGUAGUCCACGCCCUAAACGAUGUCAACUGGUUGUUGGGGAUUUAUUUCUUCAGUAACGAAGCUAACGCGUAAGUUGACCGCCUGGGGGAGUACGGCC
rnacentral:rRNA from 1 species